UACGUAGGGAGCAAGCGUUGUCCGGAAUCAUUGGGCGUAAAGGGCGUGUAGGCGGUCUAGUAAGUCAGAUGUGAAAGGCCUGGGCUUAACCCAGGAAGUGCAUUUGAAACUGCCAGACUAGAGUACGAGAGGGGGUAGUGGAAUUACGAGUGUAGAGGUGAAAUUCGUAGAUAUUGGGAAGAACACCGGUGGCGAAGGCGGCUAUCUGGACCGUAACUGACGCUGAGGCGCGAAAGCGUGGGGAGCAAACAGGG
rnacentral:rRNA from 1 species